GCUGGGUGUAUUACUGACAGUGAGAUUUCAGUCGUGUCUCACAGUCUUAUUGCCGAGCAGAAAUCCUCAGUGCAGAGGUACAUGCUGAUGAUAACAUUUUGCUUUCAUCAAGCUCUGUAUCAGGUGUUGUGCUAAAUGUUUUUAUCAUAAAAACAAUCCGUUAAAGCUAAGUGACUGUUCUUAUUUUUACAGGAGGAUAAACUGAGGCUCUGAAAGGCUAAACAGCUUGCCUGCUGACACAUAACUGUAAAAUGAUAGAGUCAGUCAGUGGUUCAUUCUCAAACCAGCAUCUGUCUGACUUCAAAUCAUGAAAUUGGCUUAAGGAAAUUAUGGAAGUCUCUGGAAGCUGUUGGCUUUCUUAAAACUCUAUCAGGGAUAGUUAGCCACAGGAGUAGGUCACAGGUGGUAAAGUACAAGUGUCAGAAUGAGGUAAAGCUAAUUUCAAAAUCAAGCUCAGCCAUGUGCUAACUGAAUGAACUUGGGGAAACAAUUUAACCUUGUUGAGGUCAGUUUUCUCAUUUGCAAAAUGGCAAUGACACCUACCUUCACAGUUGCUGUGAGAACUAAACACAAGGUCAUAUUACAUGCUCAAAAAAGGGUAGCUGCAAUUCUUGCUUGUUUUCCUCUUCCUCCUAAGAGCAGAGGCAAUGCAUUUUUAAAAAUGCAUUUUCAAGGGCAACAUGGUUUACUGAAAAGAGUUAGAGAGAGAGCCUAAUGAUUUAGGUUCUGGCCCUGGUAAUCAGUAACUGUGAUUCUGGGCUUCCUAACUUCCCUGGGCCUCAGUUUACUCAUCUAUAAUGCAAGCGGUUUGGGUUGAAUGUUAGUUCUGAGAAAUUGAGGCUUUGCUUUCC
rnacentral:lncRNA from 10 species